AACGAACGCUGGCGGCGUGCCUAACACAUGCAAGUCGAACGAGAAAGUUCCCUUCGGGGAGCGAGUACAGUGGCAGACGGGUGAGUAACACGUGGGUAACCUGCCCGUUGGUCGGGGGAUAACCCUUCGAAACGGGGGGGCUAAUACCGCAUGACAUUGGAAGAGCUUCGGCUCUUUCAAUCAAAGCUUGCCUCUUCUUGAAAGCAAGCGCCGACGGAGGGGCCCGCGCCCCAUUAGCUUGUUGGUGAGGUAACGGCUCACCAAGGCUACGAUGGGUAGCCGGCCUGAGAGGGUGAUCGGCCACACUGGAACUGAGACACGGUCCAGACUCCUACGGGAGGCAGCAGUGAGGAAUUUUGCGCAAUGGGCGAAAGCCUGACGCAGCGACGCCGCGUGGAGGACGAAGGUCUCCGGAUCGUAAACUCCUGUCAAGAGGGACGAAUCCCGGGCGGAUGAAUAAGCCGACCGGUUGACGGUACCUCUGGAGGAAGCCCCGGCUAACUCCGUG
rnacentral:rRNA from 1 species